GAUGAACGCUGGCGGCAGGCCUAAUACAUGCAAGUCGAACGUGAGUAUUUGAGAAUUUAUUUUCAAAUAUGAAAGUGGCGGACGAGCGAGUAACACGUGAGAAUCUGCCCUGUACUCGGGGAUAACGGCUCGAAAGAGUCGCUAAUACCGGAUAGUCUCGUAAGAGUAAAGCUUUUGCGGUACAGGAGGAGCUCGCGGCCUAUCAGCUAGUUGGUACGGUAACGGCGUACCAAGGCUAUGACGGGUACCUGGUGUGAGAGCAUGACCAGGCGCGAUGGGACUGAGACACGGCCCAG
rnacentral:rRNA from 1 species